rnacentral:rRNA from 1 species
CUACGAGUUGCAGCAGUGAGGAAUAUUGCACAAUGGGGGGAACCCUGAUGCAGCAACGCCGCGUGGAGGAUGACGCAUUUCGGUGUGUAAACUCCUUUUAUAUGUCAAGAAAAUGACGGUAGCAUAUGAAUAAGCACCGGCUAACUCCGUGCCAGCAGCGCGCGGUAAUACGGAGGGUGCAAGCGUUACUCGGAAUCACUGGGCGUAAAGGACGCGUAGGCGGGGUGGAAAGUCAGGUGUGAAAUCCUACAGCUUAACUGUAGAACUGCACUUGAAACUUCUAAUCUAGAGUAUGGGAGGGGGAGUUGGAAUUAGUGGUGUAGGGGUAAAAUCCGUAGAUAUCACUAGGAAUACCUAAAGCGAAGGCGAUCUCCUGGAACAUUACUGACGCUAAGGCGUGAAAGCGUGGGGAGCAAACAGGAUUAGAUACCCGAGUAGUC